rnacentral:lncRNA from 1 species
UUGUAAUGACUAUCAAGGGCAGUGCUGUCUACCUCUCUCUCUUUCCCUUUCUCUCUCUCGCUCGCUUUGCUUCUCUUACUAUGUGAGCAUGAGGGGAGGAGCAGUGAUUAAGCCAGAGGGAGGCUUUACUACACCAGCGUGUCAGAUACACAUUCAGUCACAGCAGCAGACAGGGCAUGAGUGUGAGCUCUGUACUACCAAUCCCACAUCCAGACCUAUAAACAGAUGAUACUGGCAGUCUCCAAAGCUGGAUCUACUGGCAAUCCUUAAGGAGUCUGAUUUCCAUUGGGAUUUCUUUCUUUUUUUUUCCUGUAAGGGACAAGUUGGAAACCUGUGUCUGAAAGAGAAUUGCUGAAAAACCUGUGUGGAAACUUACACAAGCACAUGGAGACAAAGGUGACCACCAGCUGUCACAUCAGUACACGGCUCUCCUUUUCAGGAGUUUGAGGAGAAGAAGAAACACAAACGAGCAAGGGAAAAGAUCUUCAUGAGCGCCAGGAAAUCCAGAGAGAAAACACACUGAGACACAAGCAGCAAAAUGUGGACACAAAACAUGAUACGUGUCUCUUUCCUAUUUCUCCUCCAUGUCCUCCUGGUUGGAUGGGGUCAAGCAGCAGAAGACGACGUCACCCCUCGCCUCAGUUUCUCUUACAAUGCAAUCGAGAGGUCGGCCAAGAGCUUUUCCCCCGAAAGAGUCUUCAAUUACACCUCUCUGCACCUCAGUAAAGAGGAUAACAUGCUGUACGUUGGCGCUCGAGAGACUCUCUUCGCACUCAAUAUCACCGAUAUCAGCAGAACACAGCUGCAGCGUAAUGUGAGUAUGUCUGUGUGUUUUAUUUUGGAGG